rnacentral:rRNA from 1 species
UACGUAGGGUGCGAGCGUUAAUCGGAAUUACUGGGCGUAAAGCGUGCGCAGGCGGUUUUGUAAGCCAGAUGUGAAAUCCCCGGGCUUAACCUGGGAAUGGCAAUGGAUACUGGCAAGCUAGAGUGCGGUAGAGGGUAGUGGAAUUCCCGGUGUAGCGGUGAAAUGCGUAGAGAUCGGGAGGAACACCAGUGGCGAAGGCGGCUACCUGGACCAGCACUGACACUGAGGCACGAAAGCGUGGGGAGCAAACAGG